rnacentral:rRNA from 1 species
GACGAACGCUGGCGGCGUGCUUAACACAUGCAAGUCGAACGAUGAAGCUGGAGCUUGCUCCAGUGGAUUAGUGGCGAACGGGUGAGUAACACGUGAGCAAUCUGCCCUUGACUCUGGGAUAACUGCGGGAAACUGUAGCUAAUACCGGAUAUGACACCUUGGGGCAUCCCGAGGUGUGGAAAGAGUUUCGGUCAAGGAUGAGCGCGCGGCCUAUCAGCUUGUUGGUGAGGUAACGGCUCACCAAGGCGACGACGGGUAGCCGGCCUGAGAGGGUGACCGGCCACACUGGAACUGAGACACGGUCCAGACUCCUACGGGGGGCAGCAGUGGGGAAUAUUGCACAAUGGGCGAAAGCCUGAUGCAGCAACGCCGCGUGAGGGAUGACGGCCUUCGGGUUGUAAACCUCUUUUAGCAGGGAAGAAGCGAAAGUGACGGUACCUAAAGAAGAAGCACCGGCUAACUACGUGCCAGCAGCCGCCGUAA